rnacentral:rRNA from 1 species
GAUGAACGCUGGCGGCGUGCCUAAUACAUGCAAGUCGAGCGAACGGACGAGAAGCUUGCUUCUCUGAUGUUAGCGGCGGACGGGUGAGUAACACGUGGAUAACCUACCUAUAAGACUGGGAUAACUUCGGGAAACCGGAGCUAAUACUGGAUAAUAUUUUGAACCGCAUGGUUCAAAAGUGAAAGACGGUCUUGCUGUCACUUAUAGAUGGAUCCGCGCUGCAUUAGCUAGUUGGUAAGGUAACGGCUUACCAAGGCAACGAUGCAUAGCCGACCUGAGAGGGUGAUCGGCCACACUGGAACUGAGACACGGUCCAGACUCCCACGGGAGGCAGCAGUAGGGAAUCUUCCGCAAUGGGCGAAAGCCUGACGGAGCAACGCCGCGUGAGUGAUGAAGGUCUUCGGAUCGUAAAACUCUGUUAUUAGGGAAGAACAUAUGUGUAAGUAACUGUGCACAUCUUGACGGUACCUAAUCAGAAAGCCACGGCUAACUACGUG